AUGUUUCACAGGCUCUUCACGAUACUUCAAGAUGACACUAUUCUCCUUGGAAUCAGCAUGCCUUCUAUCGCCAGCCUUCCCAGCACUAAAGCGGUACUUCCACCCCAGGCGCAUGAUGGGUCCUUCCCAGUCCGCCUGUUGUGCAGGGUGUCCUGCGUGCAACUAGCUGCCUUUCUCCUGGCUGUCCUGGGCUGCCUAAUGAGCAUCUGCUCCACAUCUGCCAACCUUGACUGGAGAGUGUGGCAAGUAGACAAAAUCAUGGGCAGCAACCAGCAGGGCAUUGUGGGCAUUGGCAUCUGGGGUGCCUGUUCCAUAAGAAGAGUUACUAUGAAGAAAACCAACAUGAUAUGUAUACCAUUCAACGAUGAGGAGUCCCUGCCAGCGGAAAUCAUGGUGGCCCAGGACUUGAUGCCAAUGGCCUCAGUGGCCAAUGCGGUGACCGUUCUUUGGGUGGCCUUUGCUCUAUGCAACAUCUUUGAGCCGGGAAAAGACGAGAAUUUCAUUGAUACCUUCUUUUCAAUUGGAGGAAGGAUGGAGUUGGCAGCGGGUACUUGUGUACUGAUUCCCAUUGCAUGGAAUCUUUAUUCUGUAUUAACAAACGAAGGAAUUCCACUUCCAGAGGUUUUGGGAGUUCCUCCGAUUCCCACAGAACAACGUGCUGGAAUGGCCAUCUAUAUUGGGUUUCUUGCUGCAGCUUCGCAGCUUUUAAGCGGAACUCUGGCUCUGGGUGAAAAAUAUUUUUGGAAGAUGAGUGAAAUAAACACUUCCAAGCCAAAAUUUGUAAAUGACCCAGAAAGUGUUACAGACACUGAAAACCCAAAGCUAAGCAUGAAAUACAGACAGUACUUCUCUUCUGUGACACUUGAAUGUGAAGAAGAAAAACCCCCUAUCUGGCAAAGAUCUCAAAGUCAUAUUAAAACGGAAACCAUGCCAAGCUCACUAGCAAUAUGGCUAAUGAAUGGUUCCCGUCCUGUGACUGGCUUUUUGCGUGGACAGGCGGAGUCCCCAGAUCCUGCACAGUCCCCCCUUCAUGUGGAAUAACGACUCAAGACAACGUGCUAUGGGAUUAAAUUGGCCACAACUUUAUUAAAUUUCAAAUGUGGGUAGACCUUGGCUCAGGCAUUGGGCGUUCUCCCUCCCCAGUCCCCAGCCGGGGACCUAGGGAGCAUCAGGGUUAUCCAGUGUGUGUGGGGGGGGGGGGAUGGGCCGGCUAUGGAGAACAUAUGUUCAAGCAGAGAUAGCCGCCCCCGUAACGCCGCCGCCGCAGGGGAGAGCAAUGACGACCUUUCGGCGUACGGUCAAAGCCUCCCUUCAGAAACCCCUUUAACGGGGAACCCUGGUAUCGCCGCCGCAAAGAGGAAGAUGGACUAAAGGAUUCCGCCCAAGGCCUGAUACCGCCAAAGUUGUGACGUUUUGCUACGGGAAAGGCGAAACCUGCCAAUGCAGGGAAAUUCCUUUCCGGCACUUUAACAGCGACCUUAACGUAGCAGCGCCCGCAUACCUGUGAAGAAAAGUUAACCUGCAAAACCUGUGAAGAAAAGUUAAACUGCAAAUAAGACAUUAACUGAGG
ensembl:lncRNA